rnacentral:rRNA from 1 species
GACGAACGCUGGCGGCGUGCCUAAUACAUGCAAGUAGAACGCUGAAGGAGGAGCUUGCUCUUCUGGAUGAGUUGCGAACGGGUGAGUAACGCGUAGGUAACCUGCCUGGUAGCGGGGGAUAACUAUUGGAAACGAUAGCUAAUACCGCAUAACAGAAGAUGUUGCAUGACAUUUGCUUAAAAGGUGCAAUUGCACCACUACCAGAUGGACCUGCGUUGUAUUAGCUAGUUGGUGGGGUAACGGCUCACCAAGGCGACGAUACAUAGCCGACCUGAGAGGGUGAUCGGCCACACUGGGACUGAGACACGGCCCAGACUCCUACGGGAGGCAGCAGUAGGGAAUCUUCGGCAAUGGACGGAAGUCUGACCGAGCAACGCCGCGUGAGUGAAGAAGGUUUUCGGAUCGUAAAGCUCUGUUGUAAGAGAAGAACGAGUGUGAGAGUGGAAAGUUCACACUGUGACGGUAUCUGACCAGAAAGGGACGGCUAACUACGUG